UUCGGAUUGAAGGCUGAAAUUCGCCUUCAUGAAGUCGGAAUUGCUAGUAAUGGCAGGUCAGCAUACUGCCGUGAAUACGUUCCCGGGCCUUGUACACACCGCCCGUCACACCAUGAGAGUUGGAGAUACCCGAAGCCUAUGAGCUAACUUUUAGAGGCAGUAGUCGAAGGUAGAAUCAAUGAUUGGGGUGAAGUCGUAACAAGGUACC
rnacentral:rRNA from 1 species